rnacentral:rRNA from 1 species
UUAAGCCAUGCGAGUCGAACGAGUUUAGGCUCGUGGCGUACGGCUCAGUAACACGUGGAUAACCUACCCUUAGGACUGGGAUAACCCUGGGGAACUGGGGAUAAUACUAGAUAGGCAAUUUUUCCUGGAAUGGUUUUUUGUUUAAAUGUUUUUUCGCCUAAGGAUGGGUCUGCGGCCGAUUAGGUAGUUGGCUAGGUAACGGCUUACCAAGCCAUUGAUCGGUACGGGUUGUGAGAGCAAGAGCCCGGAGAUGGAACCUGAGACAAGGUUCCAGGCCCUACGGGGUGCAGCAGGCGCGAAACCUCCGCAAUGUGAGAAAUCGCGACGGGGGGAUCCCAAGUGCCAUUCUUAACGGGAUGGCUUUUCAUUAGUGUAAAGAGCUUUUGGAAUAAGGGCUGGGCAAGACCGGUGCCAGCCGCCGCGGUAA